AGGACAUCAAGCUGUUUUCUGGUAGCGUUGACGGAUAUUUCCACCGAUUUCUGAAGACCUGGACCUGACAGAGCUACCAAGCAACCACACAAAUGAAGAUUGACACCUACUAUAGAGUGCGAUGUUGCUGUUAAAGAUGAUACCUUGUUCAAACAUGCCGAUACACUGCAAACCUUUUUUACUGGCAAACCGCCCAAUGUAGUUACUGCUCUUCAGAACCUGAUACACAGCUGAAGAUCUGUGUUGCCCUCAUCAUCAUCCUCAUCAUCUUCUUCAUCCUCAUCAUCUUCUUCAUCAUCAUCAUCAUGGUCUACUGGUUCACCGGUGUCAG